UGUUUGUACCUUCAUAUUAAUCUGAAGUUUAAAAAUAAAUAAAUACUGCUUAUUACACCCAACAGAACUCUGGGGUCAUUGUGAUGGGGGGCACAAAACUUAUAGCUUCCCUAUGAACAAAUUCCCUGCACGU
rfam:Otolemur garnettii contig072637, whole genome shotgun sequence.